rnacentral:rRNA from 1 species
CUACGGGUGGCUCCAGUGAGGAAUAUUGCACAAUGGGGGGAACCCUGAUGCAGCAACGCCGCGUGGAGGAUGACGCAUUUCGGUGUGUAAACUCCUUUUAUAUGUCAAGAAAAUGACGGUAGCAUAUGAAUAAGCACCGGCUAACUCCGUGCCAGCAGCCGCGGCAAUACGGAGGGUGCAAGCGUUACUCGGAAUCACUGGGCGUAAAGGACGCGUAGGCGGGUUGGAAAGUCAGGUGUGAAAUCCUACAGCUUAACUGUAGAACUGCACUUGAAGCUUCUAAUCUAGAGUAUGGGAGGGGGAGAUGGAAUUAGUGGUGUAGGGGUAAAAUCCGUAGAUAUCACUAGGAAUACCUAAAGCGAAGGCGAUCUCCUGGAACAUUACUGACGCUAAGGCGUGAAAGCGUGGGGAGCAAACAGGAUUAGAUACCCGGGUAGUC